rnacentral:rRNA from 1 species
CGGACGGGUGAGUAAUGUCUGGGAAAACUGCCCCGAUGGAGGGGGAUAACUACUGGAAACGGUAGCUAAUACCGCAUAACGUCGCAAGACCAAAGAGGGGGACCUUCGGGCCUCUUGCCAUCGGAUGUGCCCAGAUGGGAUUAGCUAGUAGGUGGGGUAACGGCUCACCUAGGCGACGAUCCCUAGCUGGUCUGAGAGGAUGACCAGCCACACUGGAACUGAGACACGGUCCAG